UGGGGAAUAUUGCGCAAUGGGGGAAACCCUGACGCAGCAACGCCGCGUGAGUGAUGAAGGUCUUCGGAUCGUAAAGCUCUGUCAGGUGGGAAGAAUAAGAGCAGCGAGAAUAUUGCUGCACGAUGACGGUACCACCAGAGGAAGCACCGGCUAACUCCGUGCCAGCAGCCGCGGUAAUACGGAGGGUGCAAGCGUUGUUCGGAAUUACUGGGCGUAAAGGGCGUGUAGGCGGAUAUGCAGGUCAGAUGUGAAAGCCCUCGGCUCAACCGAGGAAGUGCAUCUGAAACCGCGUAUCUUGAGUACGGAAGAGGAAGGUGGAAUUCCCAGUGUAGAGGUGAAAUUCAUAGAUAUUGGGAAGAACACCGGUGGCGAAGGCGACCUUCUGGUCCGAUACUGACGCUGAGACGCGAAAGCGUGGGGAGCAAACA
rnacentral:rRNA from 1 species